GGCGGGGCGGGAAGGAUGGAGCGAGAUUGGGAUGGGGAGGAGGAAAGCGCAGCGGCUGUCGGGGUGUAACGGCUGUUCACAUAACAGCAGUGGAGCAGGAACUAGUAGAAGAAUGAAAAUUCCUCACCAAGUACUGCCAAAUAAUUUGUGAAAGCUGAGGACCAGUCUGAACAGAAGGGGAUCCCGCACUUGACAAACAGCAAAUGUUCUCAUGCAAUGGAACAAAACUAGAAGGGAAAGAAAGGAAAAAAACGUCCAAUGAGAAAAUCUCAUUGGAUACUACAAGAAGCAGAAACCAGACGGAGCUUUUCCCCCAUAUUCUUCCCUGCCAGACUCAGAAUCCAUCAGGACAACUCUCCCAGUGAUUCAUUGCUGCCAUCUGCAUGAUUGCCUUCAGAAGUCUGAGUUUUGCUUCUUUGUUUGCCUCUCUAUUCUACGUUUUUGAUCAUUUAUCAUGGCUACUCUUGCUAUGCCUAUUCUGCAACUUGAACAUCCCAUUCCUUUGAACUACAUAUAUUAAAGUUUUGAGCUUGUACUUUAUUAUGGUCUGGGAUGCACAUAAGAAUGCAAGUUUGUUGCUUUCUAAUCACU